rnacentral:rRNA from 1 species
GGAAAAAAAAGAUCUAGCCUGCUCACUGACAAGAUGUUAAAUAGCCGCGGUAUUUUGACCGUGCAAAGGUAGCAUAAUCAUUAGUUUUUUAAUUGGAAACUUGUAUGAAUGGUUGGACAAAGAAAAAGCUGUCUCUUUUAUUAAAAUUGAAAUUAACUUCUAAGUGAAAAGGCUUAGAUUUUCUAGAGGGACGAUAAGACCCUAUAAAGCUUUAUAAAUUAAGUAAGUUAGAACAAAUUUUAUAGAAUAAAGGUAAAUUUAAUAUAUUUAUUUGGUUGGGGCGACAAUGGUAUAAAUUAAAUAACUGCUAUUAAAAUUAAACAAUUAUAUUUGAUUAAAAUUAUAAUUGAUCCUUAUUAUGGAUUAAAAGAUCAAGUUACUUUAGGGAUAACAGCGUAAUUUCUUUUAAGAGUUCUUAUCAAAGAAGAAGUUUGCGACCUCGAUGUUGAAUUAAAAUGUCUUUAUAGUGCAGAAGCUAUAAAAGAAGGUCUGUUCGACCUUUAAUUUUUUACAUGAUCUAAUUUCCAAACCAAAA